CAGAGUUAAGGAGGACUUGACCAUUUCCCUCGCUCUCUCUCUUCUCUCCCUCCGCUCUGCCUCCCCUCCCUCUCAGCUGGCCUCGGGGCGCCGAGGCUGACGUCCAGGGCGGAGACUGGGGAAACCUGCCGAGGGCUUCUCCGGGAAGCGCCGAGGCUGAAGGAGAGCAUUUCUGGGGGAGGCUUUAAAAAGCAGUUGUGGACCAGGGUUAGAGUUGGUUCGCUGUGGCUUUUCGAGAAACCCUUGUGCCAUUAUUUGAGGAACAGCAACUCUGGCUCCAGUUAAGAUCUGUUUUCCAGUUAGCCUGGGGUUUCAGUUGCCAGUGCCAAAAGGCAGUCAGGAAGCAGAUCGUCCUGAUUUAUGGCCAGAAGGUCAAUAGCCUAAGGCUAUCUCACAAUGCCUCUGUCAGUCACUUCUCUUCAUCUCAUCGUGUAGGCAGUAUCUAUUUCAUCUCACAUCAUCGCAGGAAGGGUGUGAGUUUGUAAGCCCGAUCCAAUCCGUGUUUCAUCUUAUGGACAAGAAAGCCGAUGAGGUAAUUUACUUACCUAGGACUGGAAGAUAAAUCUCCUGGUUGCCUCCCACGAGGGCAGAAGUAGCUGGAGUCAGCCUUCCCUCUAAUUUGAGUUGAGUCAGACACCUUGGAAUAUCUCAACAUAAUCUUCCUCCCAAUUCCCACAAACACCCUUUACAGAGGAAACUUGGGAAUAUUUGAAACCCCCCUCUUCUUUCUCCUCCCACACCACGUCAGUCACCUAACUUGUUAAUUGGCCUCCCUGCCUCCAUUCCUGUCCUCCUCCAAAUCCUCUUCCUCGCUGGAAAAGAGGUUUCUCGAGAACAUUAGUCUAAUCAUGUCACUGUCUGGCUUUAAAAUCCGUCUGUAACUCCUCCGUUGCCUUGAGGUUAGAUCUAAGUCAACUUCCUUUGCAUAGCACACAAAGCCCCUCAUCACCUGGGUGCUGUCCCCUGGUCAGGACCCUGUGCUCCAACCAGAUCAAAUUACCCACAGGGCUUUGCACACACAGUGCUGCCUGUAUUUUGUCCUCUGUAUUUGCUAUUUGCACUACUCUGGCACCAGCUAACUCCCACUUAGACUUUUCGUCCCACUUCCAG